ACAUUUUAAAAUUAAAGAACUGUAGUGUUACUACUAUAUAAGUUCAGGGAAAGUUGUUAAAAUUUAUUCCAUUAUGUUACUCUCUGAUAGUGAAGGGACAUAAGUGCAUUGUUUCAGCAAUUGCUAGCACUAGCACGUCUAACUAUGGCCUCAAUAAAGUGGGAAAUAAUCAAAGCCGUUGCAGUUUAAUUCCUUCAUUAACUCCCUUAUUCCAUGUAAUAAAAUAAAAACACAUUAUAUCUAACACAUUUGUUAGAAAGGCCUCAUGUGCAAAAUCGUUGCACUAGGGCACUUCACAUAUCCUGAAGUGGAAAAUAUUUUAACAGCAAAACUGACUAAUUUCUUUUGAAGGCAUAAAAAGCAAACACAAUAUAGAGGAUUUAUAUCAUUUACCAAAGAGGAAAAAAGAAAUGAAAGGAUAAAAAGGAAA
rnacentral:misc_RNA from 1 species